GGUAUUGUGGCUCAGCAGCAGAGCAUGCACCUUACACAUGCAAGGCCCUGGGUUCUAUCCUCAGCACCA
rnacentral:tRNA from 1 species